UACGUAGGGUGCGAGCGUUAAUCGGAAUUACUGGGCGUAAAGCGUGCGCAGGCGGUUCGUUGUGUCGGCGGUGAAAGCCCCGGGCUUAACCUGGGAAUGGCCGUUGAAACUGGCGAACUGGAGUGUGGCAGAGGGGGGUGGAAUUCCGCGUGUAGCAGUGAAAUGCGUAGAUAUCGAGAGGAACACCAGUGGCGAAGGCGAGUCCCUGGACACUUCCUGACACUGAGGCACGAAAGCUAGGGGAGCAAACAGG
rnacentral:rRNA from 1 species